rnacentral:rRNA from 1 species
GACGAACGCUGGCGGCGUGCUUAACACAUGCAAGUCGAACGAAGUGGCGAACGGGUGAGUAACGCGUAAUCAACCUGCCCUUCAGAGGGGGACAACAGUUGGAAACGACUGCUCAUACCGCAUACUGAAGGAGGGGAUUGCGUCUGAUUAGCUAGUUGGAGGGGUAAAGGCCCACCAAGGCGAUGAUCAGUAGCCGGUCUGGGAGGAUGAAAGGCCAAAUUGGGGCUGGGACACGGGCCAAGCUCCUACGGGGAGGAGCAAUGGGGGAUCUUCCGGAAUGGACGAAAGUCUGACGGGACAACGCCGCGGGAGUGAUGACGGCCUUCGGGUUGGAAAGCUCUGUUAAUCGGGGCGUGGUACCGGAAUAGAAAGCCACGGCUAACUACGUGCCAGCAGCCGCGGUAAUUC